rnacentral:tRNA from 1 species
CGGGAUAUAGCGCAGAUUGGUAGCGCACCAUCUUGGGGUGAUGGAGGUCGCAGGUUCAAAUCCUGCUAUUCCGA